UAGUAUAGAUUUCGCGUAAGAUGCACGCCAUUUGAGCGAGUGAGGUUACUUAAAGAACAAAACCGCAAUAAUUUUAACCUGCGCACCCUGAAAUACAAAAUUUUCCAUUCUCCGCGCCACAGAAAAAGACACACACUCCAUUCCACUUCACUCACUCACUCACUCACUCACUCGCUCCCUCCCACACCUUCAACUCCCUUCUCUUCACGACUAUUCCUCCUAGUAACUUGCGUUAGGGUUUCUGGUUAAUGAAAACUUCAAGCUUAGAAAUGGAAGCAGAGGAUGCCUAUCAGAGGAAAGAGCGCACUGCACUUGUUGCCAUUGUCGUUCUCGCUUCCCUGGCUCUAGCUUCCUUGCUCGUUGCCUUCAGCUAUUACUGCUACAUACGCAACAAGGUUUCUAAGCGCACUAGAAGCCGCAAAAGUAAGUUUGGCGUCUUCGUCAUCAAUUCUUUACUCUGAAAAUGCAGGAAUGGAAAAUGAAAUUUGUUUUUCUUUUUCGUUUCCGUUUUCUCAAAGUCUUGAUUUAUUUUUGCUUUGGCAUUUUCUUUUUCUUGUUAUUAUAGUGAUUUUUAGUGGAAAUGUAAAUUGGCGGUAAUGUCUGAUCGUAUGAUGUUUGGUUACUUGGAAUGUGGGAAGAUGACCGGAGAGGAAUUUAUUGAUUGUUGGUGUCCUGCUAUUCUGUUAAAAAAGAAAGCGUAAUUAAAUGGAAAGCGAAUUGGCGACUUUCUUCUUUGCGUGAAAAAGAAAGCUGUAUCAUGAUCUAGAAACANNN
rnacentral:lncRNA from 1 species